AGUGAACGCUGGCGGUAGGCCUAACACAUGCAAGUCGAACGGCAGCACAGUAAGAGCUUGCUCUUACGGGUGGCGAGUGGCGGACGGGUGAGGAAUACAUCGGAAUCUACUUUUUCGUGGGGGAUAACGUAGGGAAACUUACGCUAAUACCGCAUACGACCUACGGGUGAAAGCAGGGGAUCUUCGGACCUUGCGCGAUUGGAUGAGCCGAUGUCGGAUUAGCUAGUUGGCGGGGUAAAGGCCCACCAAGGCGACGAUCCGUAGCUGGUCUGAGAGGAUGAUCAGCCACACUGGAACUGAGACACGGUCCAGACUCCUACGGGAGGCAGCAGUGGGGAAUAUUGGACAAUGGGCGCAAGCCUGAUCCAGCCAUACCGCGUGGGUGAAGAAGGCCUUCGGGUUGUAAAGCCCUUUUGUUGGGAAAGAAAAGCAGCAGGUUAAUACCCCGCUGUUCUGACGGUACCCAAAGGAUAAGCACCGGCUAACUUCGUG
rnacentral:rRNA from 1 species